rnacentral:rRNA from 1 species
UACGUAGGGUGCGAGCGUUGCCCGGAUUUAUUGGGCGUAAAGGGCGCGUAGGCGGCUCGGCACGUCCGUUGUGAAAUCGCCCGGCUCAACUGGGGAGGGUCACGCGAUACUGAUCGACUCGAAGGCAGGAGAGGGUAGUGGAAUUCCCGGUGUAGUGGUGAAAUGCGUAGAUAUCGGGAGGAACACCAGUGGCGAAGGCGACUACCUGGCCUGUUCUUGACGCUGAGGCGCGAAAGCUAGGGGAGCAAACGGG